rnacentral:rRNA from 1 species
CCUACGGGUGGCAGCAGUGAGGAAUAUUGGUCAAUGGCCGAGAGGCUGAACCAGCCAAGUCGCGUGAGGGAAGAAUGUCCUAUGGAUUGUAAACCUCUUUUGUCAGGGAGCAAAGUCACCCACGUGUGGGUGUUGGAGAGUACCUGAAGAAAAAGCAUCGGCUAACUCCGGGCCAGCAGCCGCGGUAAUACGGAGGAUGCGAGCGUUAUCCGGAUUUAUUGGGUGUAAAGGGUGCGUAGGCGGGUUAGCAAGUCAGCGGUAAAAUCGUGGGGCUCAACUCCAUGCAGGCCGUUGAACCGGGAGAUCUUGAGUGGGUGAGAGGUAGGCGGAAUGCGUGGUGUAGGGGUGAAAUGCAUAGAUAGCAGGAGGAACACCGGUUGCGAAGGCGGCAUGCGGGCGCCCAACUGACGCUGAGGCGCGAAAGCGUGGGUAGCAAACAGGAUUAGAUACCCUAGUAGUC